ACUUCUCAACUUCAAAAGAUUUUAUUAUCUUCUGAAGCUUGGACUAUGGAGGCCUUUGCUGGCGUCAUUGUCAGCUCCUCUCAAAUGUAUUAGCAGAACACUAUUAUCAGCAUUGGUUUGAUAAGCUCUAUCUAAAUCAUUACUGAUUAGUCUGUUCAGCUUCUAAUUGUCCUGUAUAGGACUGCUGAAAAGCAAUACACUUUAA
rnacentral:misc_RNA from 1 species